rnacentral:rRNA from 1 species
CAAUAGCGUAUAUUAAAGUUGUUGCGGUUAAAAAGUUCGUAGUUGGAUUUCUGCCAAGGACGACCGGUCCGCCCUCUGGGUGAGUAUCUGGCUUGGCCUCGGCAUCUUCUUGGAGAACGUUGCUGCACUUCACUGUGUGGCGCGGUAUCCAGGACCUUUACUUUGAGGAAAUUAGAGUGUUUCAAGCAGGCAUCUGCCUUGAAUACAUUAGCAUGGAAUAAUAAGAUAGGACCUCGGUUCUAUUUUGUUGGUUUCUAGAGCUGGGGUAAUGAUUAAUAGGGAUAGUUGGGGGCAUUCGUAUUUAACUGUCAGAGGUGAAACUCUUGGAUUUGUUAAAGACGGACUACUGCGAAAGCAUUUGCCAAGGAUGUUUUCAUUG